GAGCUUCAGUGACGCUCUGUCUCAUCAGGGUGAGAUGUUCCAUGGCUCGUGUCUCUGCAUGCUCCCUGGCUCCGGAGCUCCACUGGACGUUACGUUCCACCAGACCUGCAGCCACACAUCAACACCAUUAACACCAACUCACCCUGAGCAUCCUGCAGGUUGUGAGUUCACAUGAGGGAACGAUCGGUUUGUCGUACCAGACACAGAGUUGUGGAGGUGGGAGCAGCAGCCCGUCAUCUCCUCCAGCGUCUGUUGACUCUCGUCAGCGCUGAGACGCAGUGAGGAGGCGAGGGAUAAGGAGGUGGAGCAGAGGAGGUCCGCCUGGGUCGAGGCCUGAUGCUCCACUGUGCUGCAGCCGCUGUAGGACGAGGACGUGACAUAAAUGAAAAGGUAACGGUUUGUUUCCUCCAGCCUGAAAAGAGACGUACACGACACUUCAGUUUCACAAGCUGCUGAUUUCCCAGCUGGAUGCUGCUCUCGUACAGCGACGCCUCACCUCUGCUGCUUCUGGUCCAGGUCCACGGAGCACUGCUCCAGUCUGGUUCUACUGUCUGUGAACAGCUCCGUCGCCUGCAGAGGAGAAAACGUGUGAGCACGACUUGCGUACUCCAGUGUGCUCAGCGUCUCCUGCACAGAGAGAAUCACACUGGUGAACACGAGCUCAGGCCGAGGAGGAGACUGUUCUGGAGCAGUGUGACGUUAUGAAUGAUCAAACAGAUGUGCAGAGACAGCAGGACAUACUUCCAGGUUGCUGGAUGAAGGCGACACGGUGGCAAUGAUGGACGUCUUUGUCCGUCCUCCCAGCGAGUCCUGCAGGA